rnacentral:rRNA from 1 species
UACGGAGGGUGCAAGCGUUGUCCGGAAUCACUGGGCGUAAAGGGCGCGUAGGCGGCUCGGUAAGUAGGGGGUGAAAUCCUGCGGCUUAACCGCAGGGCUGCCUUCUAAAUUGUCGAGCUCGAGCACGGUAGAGGCAGAUGGAAUUCCCGGUGUAGCGUUGGAAUGCGUAGAGAUCGGGAAGAACAUCAGUGGCGAAGGCGGCCUGCUGGGCUGUUGCUGACGCUGAGGCGCGACAGCGUGGGGAGCAAACAGG